ensembl:lncRNA
GUCCAAUUACAUGCUCAUUGAAGCUAACAUGGGUGGCAGCAACAGAAAAAAAAAUUGCCUUCUAACUGCCAUCUGUUUGGAGAUAGAAUGAAAACUUCUGAGAGAACCAGGACCUGACCACAGGCUGUGGGCAUGGCAGAGGGCUGCAUGCAUCACUGCCAUGGCAAAAUACAUACAAACAGUCAUUUAAUAGGAGUACAAUGUGCCCUCAGCCAGUGCCAUUAUGUGCAAUUUAAAGCAAUGUUUAUCCUGUUGAUAUCAGUUACUUUGCAUCUACUUGCUGAGAACUGGUUUUACAGGGACGCUUGUUCUUUGGCAAUGAGUAGAUUAUAGUUAUUACUUUAAUGGUUAGGAAAAUGAAUUUUAUAACCCACAGUGCGUGUGAGAUCCAUGCUGACUUUCCACGUGCUUUCACUCACGGCCAUGUAGAACCACCUAGCCCCAAGGGCUGAAGUCUGUGUUCUCCCCUCUCUGCACUGCCACAGCCCUCAGCCCAGAGAGUGCAGCUCCUUCGCAGAGCUCUGCAGACACCUGGCUCUUCUGUGCAGCAGCAGCAAAGGAAACCUGACAGAAAACUGGGUCAGAUAAAACGCGUUCCAUCUGGAAAUAAACGCUUCAUUUUUCAAAGCUUUUUUUCUUUUCUUUUUUCUUUUUUUUUUUUUAAUACAACUGAAAUUAACUUUGAAAUGAAACCUCAUCUCGAAAUUUAAAACGCAGUGGUUCAUUUCUAACAAGAUGAAGCAAAGUGCUUUUAUUUUUAUGCUGCGUUAUGAACUAAAAUAGACAGAAUUUACAUGCAUUUCCAAAGUGCUUCAAUAAAUCCAAGCACCAGUCGUCAGCCAAGGAGAGAUUUGACCACAAUUUCCCACCAGCUCAUGGCUUUGUCUCUUCGUGUCUCAAUUCUGCUUCUGUACAAUGUGGGUAUUUUUCCUCUCUCUGUCUUGUCUACGUGUGUUAAAGCUAUCAGAACUGAGACUGUCUCUGCUUUUAGCCCACAGAGGAUGGAGAUGUCUCUUUCAGAGCUCAGGAAUACAAUGACAGUGUUUAUUUGGCACUGAUUUCAGGAGCAACUGACUUAUAAUACAAGUAUACGGAGGGGUAAGGCCAACGUAUUCCACCUUUUUUUAAUCCUAAUUUACUGUGGAAGUCUCUGAAAUUCUGUCAUAGAGCCAUGGAAUGGCUGUGAUUGGAGGGGAGCUCAAAGCCCACCCAGUGCCACCCCCGGCCAUGGGCAGGGCUGCCCCCCACCAGCUCAGGCUGCCCAGGGCCCCAUCCCACCUGGCCUUGAGUGCCUGCAGGGAUGGGGCACCCACAGCUCUCUGGGCAGCAGUGCCAGCGCCUCACCGCCCUCUGAGGAAAGGAUGGCUUCCUCACAUCUAACCCACAUCUCCAGCCAGCUUUCAGGUCCCAGACUGGAUGGAGUUUUUUUCCAUUUAAAGCAGAACUA